UACGUAGGGACCUAGCGUUGUCCGGAAUCAUUGGGCGUAAAGCGCGCGUAGGCGGCCCGGUAAGUCCGUUGUAAAAGUCGAAGGCUCAACCUUCGAAAGCCGAUGGAUACUGCCGGGCUAGAGUCCGGAAGAGGCGGGUAGAAUUCCUGGUGUAGCGGUGGAAUGCGCAGAUAUCAGGAGGAAUACCCAUAGCGAAGGCAGCUCGCUGGGACGGUACUGACGCUGAGGCGCGAAAGCGUGGGGAGCGAACAGG
rnacentral:rRNA from 1 species